GAUGAACGCUGGCGGCGUGCCUAAUACAUGCAAGUCGAGCGAACAGAUAAGGAGCUUGCUCCUUUGACGUUAGCGGCGGACGGGUGAGUAACACGUGGGUAACCUACCUAUAAGACUGGAAUAACUCCGGGAAACCGGGGCUAAUGCAGGAUAACAUGUUGAACCGCAUGGUUCUACAGUGAAAGGCGGCUUUGCUGUCACUUAUAGAUGGACCCGCGCCGUAUUAGCUAGUUGGUGAGGUAACGGCUCACCAAGGCUACGAUACGUAGCCGACCUGAGAGGGUGAUCGGCCACACUGGAACUGAGACACGGUCCAGACUCCUACGGGAGGCAGCAGUAGGGAAUCUUCCGCAAUGGGCGAAAGCCUGACGGAGCAACGCCGCGUGAGUGAUGAAGGUCUUCGGAUCGUAAAACUCUGUUAUUAGGGAAGAACAAAUGCGUAAGUAACUGUGCGCGUCUUGACGGUACCUAAUCAGAAAGCCACGGCUAACUACGUG
rnacentral:rRNA from 1 species